AUAAUUAUGAUUUUGUAAAGAGUGAAUGGCAUUGAAUGUAAUACAUUGUUUAAUAUCUGAUACGUCCCCCAUCGGGGGACUACAUAUUAAAUAGAUUUUUUUGAACAGGGAGUCGGAAAUGGGGCUUGCUCCGUCCGCUCCACGCAUUGACCCGGUAUUGCAGUACCUCCGGGAAUGGUGCAACACUU
ensembl:snRNA U2 U2 spliceosomal RNA